CAUGAAACAUCAAUCAUAUCCCUUGUCUUCACAAAAAUAAUUGUUUCCAAAUACACGACUGCUACACUCUCAAAGGACAAAUACAUAAACAUAAAACAGCUGCCUUGUACUACUUAUCAAACAAGCCUUGGAGUACAAUAAAUAUGUGAAAUUUACUGUUUCAGAACUAUCAGUUUGCUCAAAAUAAUGAAAGUGAUUCAUCAGCCAGGGUAUUACUAGUUUAGCAAGAAUAAGGUUAAUACAAUCACAAAGUUCAACACAAAAAAGAUGCACUUCAACAUUAAAUAUCCGAAAUUUGUAUGUCCAAAAGGAACAUAGAUAAUGGAUGGAGGAUGAUAAUUUUGCGGAAUUCUACAUAGAUGACACUAUAUAAAUAGUCUGGUCGACAGCCACACUCCCGUUGCACGCUUUGAAACACAACUGUCAUAACAAAAGUUGGCGAAAGAGGUGCAGAUGCAGUAUCACAACAUCUCUUGCGACUUUCUAACGCAUCGACUGACUUUCUUCUUGAAAUCAUCCCUUCUAUCUCUCCAUUC